GUGGGGAAUAUUGGGCAAUGGGCGCAAGCCUGACCCAGCAACGCCGCGUGAAGGAAGAAGGCUUUCGGGUUGUAAACUUCUUUUAUCAGGGACGAAACAAAUGACGGUACCUGGUGAAUAAGCCACGGCUAACUACGUGCCAGCAGCAGCGGUAAUACGUAGGUGGCGAGCGUUAUCCGGAUUGAGUGGGAGGAAAGGGCGGGUAGGCGGGACAGCAAGUCAGAUGUGAAAGCCAGAGGCUCAACCUCUGGCCUGCAUUUGAAACUGUUGUUCUUGAGUGUCGGAGAGGUAAUCGGAAUUCCGUGUGUAGCGGUGAAAUGCGUAGAUAUACGGAGGAACACCAGUGGCGAAGGCGGAUUACUGGACGAUAACUGACUCUGAGGCGCGAAAGCGUGGGGAGCAAACAGGAUUAGAAACCCGGGUAGUCC
rnacentral:rRNA from 1 species